AAAUUGAAGAGUUUGAUCAUGGCUCAGAUUGAACGCUGGCGGCAGGCCUAACACAUGCAAGUCGAACGGUAACAGGAAACAGCUUGCUGUUUCGCUGACGAGUGGCGGACGGGUGAGUAAUGUCUGGGAAACUGCCUGAUGGAGGGGGAUAACUACUGGAAACGGUAGCUAAUACCGCAUAACGUCGCAAGACCAAAGAGGGGGACCUUAGGGCCUCUUGCCAUCGGAUGUGCCCAGAUGGGAUUAGCUAGUAGGUGGGGUAAUGGCUCACCUAGGCGACGAUCCCUAGCUGGUCUGAGAGGAUGACCAGCCACACUGGAACUGAGACACGGUCCAGACUC
rnacentral:rRNA from 2 species